CAGAGUUUCUUCGUAGGAGUUUUUCAUUUUAAACAGCUCAGUGCUCAUUGACCGAGCCUCCUUCAGAGAUCCCUCCAGCUCCGCCUGGCUCUCCUCAUAUUUCUGCUUCCACUCCGCAAGAACCUGACAGCAGAACAAACAGAGUUCCCAGAAGACCAGCUUUGAAGAACACCUGAAAGUCCACAAUUGCGAUCCUGAUUCCUUCCAGCACACCGUUGCACCUGAGCUGGUGGAUGACCAGGAAGUUCUGCAUAAGACCUGUGGUGUUUUGUUAAAUUUAAUAAUUUAUUAAAACAUAGUGACACAAUGACACAGAUAACUGUCAAAGCACAUUAUGCAUUUAUUUUGACUCGGACAUUGUCUUUGUGUCAGGUACCUGGAGUCUUUGACUCGUUGGGAAUAAGGCAGCGCACAAAAUGAGGAUGUGUGCUCCUCAAAUUGGUCAUCAGCUUGCCCAAAUUCUCCUGAGAAAUUAAAAAAUAUCAAUGACAUUAUUGAAAAGGCCCUGAAUUAGACAUGGUUUCAUUAAAGCACAUUAGCUAUUAUUUCACAUCCUACCCUGAACAGGGCAGACACAGUCUGGAAUGAGCCACCCUUCUUCUUCCCGCCUUUUUUACCACUACUUUCGGCUGUGACAUGAAAAUAAAGUGUAAAUUAUAUGCAAACACGUAUAUAUUGACUUGGACUGUCUUAAGCCAGCACCAUCCCAGCCGUCAUUGGAACAAUAUUUGUAUUGAAAUGGUGACAUUCAACAGAGGUGCUAAGUUUUCAAUUUUAACAAAAGCAGAAGAGCUUGUACCAUCUGUUCCGGCGUGUGAUGCGUAGAGAUGAGCCAGCAGUUUGACUGAAGACUUCUGGUAGAGCUGAACCACUGAGUCGUUCAGGGGGUCUUUGUUCUUUUCCAACCAGCCAGUGAUGUUGUAAUCAACAGUGCCAGCAUAGUGCACAAGAGAGAAGUGGGCCUCAGCUUUGCCUUUGGCAGGUUUUGGUUUCUCAAAGGACUUGUUUUUACCAAGAUGCUGGUCGUACAGUUUGUUCUUGAAGGUCAUGUCUGACGCCUUGGGGAACAUGCACUCCUCUUCUAGGAUGGAGAAGAUGCCCAUCGGCUGUAAUGAAGAAAUUAUUAUUUAAAACAAAAAACCUUUGAGUCAUCAGACGUUUCUAUAUUUGUGAACAUAAAGCAAGUUUCUCACCUUCUCAAUAAGCUCGAUGCAGGAGGCAAGAUCCAUACCAAAGUCAAUGAACUCCCAUUCAAUUCCCUCUUUCUUGUACUCUUCUUGCUCCAGGACAAACAUGUGGUGAUUGAAAAACUGUUGCAGUUUUUCAUUGGUGAAGUUGAUGCACAGCUGCUCCAAGCUGUUGUACUAUACAGGUGAAUAUGUCAAAAUCAAAAUAUGAAUACUCUUAGAUUUGGUCCAUUUUGACUUUAACAUGAAAACGUUUUAAAAUGAUUUAAAUAAAGCUUCGUAAGAUUUUGUCCCAUCAGCCAAACAGACUUACAUCAAAGAUUUCAAAGCCAGCAAUAUCCAGGACACCGAUAAAAGAGCUUCUUGACUGCUUGGUGUCCAGCAUCUCAUUGAUUCUGACGACCAUCCACAAGAACAUUUUCUCAUAGACAGACUUGCAGAGAGCACUGACGGAAUUGUUGACCUGAUUUUACAAAAGAAUUGUAAAACAUUAAGAAUUAUACUGUUAAAAUGAACAAAACAUGCUUCUAUAUUUAUUGGAUAAAGCAAGGGAUAUCGCCUAAAGAACUUUAAUAAGAGGCUUUGUCAACAUUAAUUAAGAAGACUAUCAUCAGCAUAAAAGAAGACCCAAGAUAUUUGAAAAACAUAUUUGUGGUGUCUUAAAUUUCAUCUCCUCUUUCCUCCUUUUUAUCUCCACCUACCUGAUUGACAGUUUGACCUUUGGUCACAAACUCGUUCCCAACCUUCACUCUGGGAUAGCAAAGAGCUUUGAGCACAUCAGCAGAGUUAAGGCCCAUGAGGUAGGCGAUUUUAUCUGCCACUAUAAAAAAAAAAUCACCAAGUCAUUGUUAAAAUCCAUAAUACUGAGGUUACGUCUUCAAUGUACCUAUUCAUUCAUUCACUAAUCAAAACCUGUGCUACACUAUAGAAGCUCAUGGUGUGUGGGUUUCUUACCCUCAGUGCCGUCUGGCUCAGCCUGCUCUUCACGCUGCUUCUGCUUAAAUUUCAUGUUUCCGUGAUGCAUCACAGCUCCAGUCAGCUUGAAAAUACCGUUUUUCUCAUCCAAAGUGAAACCCAGGAUGUCGAUGGCAGUCUGUGAUAAAAAAGAGAAUGUUUGAAACAAAAGCUUUUGUUGUUCUUUAGAAUAAACUCUCAUUGCUGCCCCCUGCCUCCGCACAUAUUUCGCAAAUCACAUCUGGAGUUCCAAGGUAAACACACUUACAGUUUUUCAAAAUAAAGACAUAUGUGGAUUUAUCAUGUCUUUCUCCACCUAGCAUCAGUAACAGCCUCAAACAUGACCUUUUAAUUGGAUCAAACACUCAAUGACAAAAGAACAACCUACAAAGCUUAUUAAAACUAGGAUUCAUUGCUGUAAUGAAUUGGCAACUUUGUGUCAGGAAUAAAAACAGGAAUCGUUUAAGUGAUCAUAAGUCUGACUUGUUAUAGAAGUAAAUUUGAAAAUCAUAGUAAAGUCAUCCUUACAUCAGUGGCAAUGAAUUCUUCAACGUCAUCGAUACUCUUGACAGUGAUUUCACCCUGACUGACCAUAUGAUAGUCAUAUGGAUUUGUGGUGAUCAGCAGAGCCUCUGCAGAAAAAUAAAUAAAAAAGAUCGAUACAAUCUAAAUCAGAACACAAACAAUAUCACUCUAGGAAGACAAAGAAUCAAAAUUGAUUUCACACCUAUGAUCUCAGGUUUGUGACCCGUCAUGAGCUGGUAGAAGAUGUGGUAGCUCCUCUCAGCAGACAGCUGGAACGUCACUCGAGACUUCUCCAGCAGAUCUGUUCAUCACACAGUUACACACCAGUCAGUUUUUUUGCAAUGAACAGGGGGUGCAAGAAAAAACUGAGGUUUAUCUGCGGAGCUAUUUCCAGACUUACAUGUUUCAAUAUCUGCAGAGGCCAAUUUCCCUGUUGUUCCAAAAUGGAUUCUGAUGAAUUUACCCUAUUUAAAAGAAAACUGUGAAUAAGAAUUAAGAAAUUUUGGAAAUUGACGUGAUUUAAAAUGUGAGGUAACUAAAACUUACAAAACGGGAUGAGUUGUCAUUCCUGAGAGUUUUGGCAUUACCAUAAGCCUCCAGCAGGGGGUUGGCUGCAAUGAUUUGAUCCUCCAGUGACCCCUUCAUUCAGGAAACAAGUCAGAAAACGAAUAAAUAGAUUAACAAUGUUCUAUCCCUCUAUCGAGGGUCAGAUUCAAUAUAUCUGUGUUAUAUUUGUUCACACAUUUGUCUUUAACUGAGCAUUUACCUGCAUUUUUCCAGAAGUUUGUUCAGUUUUCUUGCCUCCAGCCACUGCGAUUGUCGCAAAGUACUGGAUGACACGUUUUGUGUUGACGGUCUUUCCUGCACCGGAUUCUCCACUUGGAGCAUAAAAACAGCUCAGUUAGCAUCGCAGCCAUGUUGUUAUAUAUUUAAGUAAGCAAACUGAGAAAGAAAACCCAAUUUAGAGGAAUCAUUUGUAAAACUCACGUAAUAAGGAUAGACUGAUUUUCACGAUCUGUGGAAAAGAAAAACAAAUUUAGAUUUCCAUUUCAGGUCAAAGUAUUUAUAAACUUAACAAUGGAUUUCUGUUACAUACGAUUUUGUGAUUUUGUUUUUGCAUUAAUAAUAAAAAAUACUUCAGCAUACUAGUUACACACCAGUUAGCAUGUACAGAUAGGCAUUAUCAGAGAUGGAGAAGAUGUGGGAUGGAGACAAACACCCAAACGUUAUCGAAGAUCUGAAAACAGUGUGUCAUAUUCAAAGGCUUGCUUAUUCAGGACACAGAGAUGCUUAGAAAGGGAUAAAUACCUUGGAGCAUGAACUGAUAGGCGUUAUCAGAGAUGGAGAAGAUGUGAGGUGGAGCCUCAAUCCUCUUCUUUCCUCUGUAUCCUGAUACAACCACUGAGUCAUACACUGGGAGCCACUUGUAGGGAUUCACAGUGACGCAGAACAGCCCGGAGUAUGUCUGUGGAGACAAAGGGUAUUCUUACUGACACAUGUCUUCCCAUCGUCAUUGUAUAUCAAUUUUUGUUUCAACUUGUGUGUCUAUUGAGGGAAACUCACGUAGAUCAUCCACGCUGCGUAACGCUCUUUGAGGUUAUACAGCACAGACGGCUCACUGAGGUGGGUCAUCAUGGCCAUGUCCUCGAUCUUAUCAUACUUGGGAGGGUUCAUGGGGAAGAUUUCAGUGUCUUUAACAGUGAGAGUUUGCUGGAGAGACAGAGAAGACACAGGACCUACGUUUUAACAGUGGACACACAUGUUUACUACAGUCCACAGGUUCAAUUUUAUGAAAAAAAAAACAAAGAUAUGGGUCUCUAUCUCAGAAAUCUAUCUAAAAUAGGAUUAUGUAUUCGUUUUUGGGCUGAUUGGAUAUAGACUUUAGGUCAGAACAAAAUAAAGCAUACAUUGAAUUCAUGCACUGUUAUAGAAAUAUUAUACUCUACAGAGACAUCAGUCCUAUAUUCAACCAUUCAUAAAACCACAUUGGGAUCGGGGCAGACACACUUUGAGAAACAUUCGUGCAAACUAUUUAUAAAUAUAUUUCCAUUCUCACCUUCCCGUCGAGAGUCUCCACUGUGGCUUUCCCGCCAUCCCUCUUGAUGAGUUUACCCUUGAGGUACAUCUCAUUCGGCUCAGACACAAAGUACGCUGUUUUAGCAUCAAAUGGUGUAUUCUGAGCUUCAAUCCGCUCUCGUUCUUUCUUCCGGAGGAAAAUUGCCGCCGGGCCAAAACACUCCAUUUCUGAGUCGCCCAUGGUGACGGCUUACUGCAAGUAAGUACAACAGCCAGAAAGAACUCAAGUCAAUUCAGUCACUCAUUUCAUCGCUGCUUCACAAGCACUACUACUAAAGUAAAAGGAGAUGCUGUUAAUGCGGUUGUGAAUGUUACUAAUUGAAGCGUGCAGAUAAUGUACCAUUGCUUUUCUUUAGUUAAGUUUGCUAAAGGCCAACUUAACUAAUGAACUAUAUUUACACUGCAAGAUUGUUACAUUUUCAAUUAACUUUUUGAUGUUUGCUAAUGUGAUGAGUUCUGACAUGUCACAACUGUCUUCUUAUGAAAUAUAACAUAUUGUCUAAUAACAAAGAGAAAGUAUUUACAGAAAUAGAGAUGAAGAUGCACUUAACUGACCGUUAAUUGUUAGGCACAUUAUAAUAUGUCAAUGUAACUAUGAUUUUAAAUGUCUUUAGACUAAAUUAAAUAAUGAUUAAACCCCAAAACAUACCUUGUUUCCUCCCCUUAGAAGAACAGAUGCAGAUGAUGUUGGUCUAAUGAGGGCUCUAGAGAAGAAACAAAUCAUUUAAAUUGUUUCAAAUGCAGUCGCGGUAUUUCAUUUUAAAAAUAAACCCAUUGUAAGUCCUGGCAUAGAGGAAUCACAGUCCUGUAUUCACGUUGUGGUUUCUGGCAAUAAGUGAUCAUGCCCUACAUUGUUCGUUAAGCUGCUGGCUUUCCUUCUGCUAAUAAAAGACUGACUCUCACCUUGCCUGGUCGCUUGUCAGUCCUUGGUUGGGUCCAGCCCUCCUUCUUAUAUAGAGAGAUCUGUGUGCACUCAGAGGGAAUGACUUGCUAUAUUUGGUCAUGUAGGCUAUUUGCUCAAGCAUUUUUUGCCCUUAAUCUGAUCCAUGUCAUAUUCCAUCACUGCUCAAAAGGCUGUUUGUCUCAGAAUAAAACCAGCCUCUGAUUCACAUUGUUUACAGGAGUAUGUUUAGACAAUGGCAAGAAUUUAAAUUGUAAAUAACAAAGGCUGUUCUUUAAAUGAGAGAAAUGAUAAUGGUCUAUUAGUGUGUUUUAGUGGUCCAAGCUCCUGAGAUUGCAGUAUCAUCACCAGAUGUAUUCCUAUAAAUAAAAACCUAUGAAAUCA